rnacentral:rRNA from 1 species
UACGUAGGGUGCAAGCGUUAUUCGGAAUUACUGGGCGUAAAGCGUGCGCAGGCGGUGAUGUAAGACAGAUGUGAAAUCCCCGGGCUCAACCUGGGAACUGCAUUUGUGACUGCAUCGCUGGAGUACGGCAGAGGGGGAUGGAAUUCCACGUGUAGCAGUGAAAUGCGUAGAGAUGUGGAGGAAUACCGAUGGCGAAGGCAGCCCCCUGGGCCAAUACUGACGCUCAUGCACGAAAGCGUGGGGAGCAAACAGG